UGGGGAAUUUUGGACAAUGGGGGCAACCCUGAUCCAGCAAUGCCGCGUGUGUGAAGAAGGCCUUCGGGUUGUAAAGCACUUUUGUCCGGAAAGAAAACGUCGUGGUUAAUACCCGUGGCGGCUGACGGUACCGGAAGAAUAAGCACCGGCUAACUACGUGCCAGCAGCCGCGGUAAUACGUAGGGUGCAAGCGUUAAUCGGAAUUACUGGGCGUAAAGCGUGCGCAGGCGGUCCGCUAAGACAGAUGUGAAAUCCCCGGGCUUAACCUGGGAACUGCAUUUGUGACUGGCGGGCUAGAGUAUGGCAGAGGGGGGUAGAAUUCCACGUGUAGCAGUGAAAUGCGUAGAGAUGUGGAGGAAUACCGAUGGCGAAGGCAGCCCCCUGGGCCAAUACUGACGCUCAUGCACGAAAGCGUGGGGGAGCAAACAGGAUUAGAUACCCUGGUAGUCCACGCCCUAAACGAUGUCAACUAGUUGUCGGGUCUUCAUUGACUUGGUAACGUAGCUAACGCGUGAAGUUGACCGCCUGGGGAGUACGGUCGCAAGAUU
rnacentral:rRNA from 1 species